UUCAAUUAAUUUUGCUUAUAUUUAAGUUUGGAUAAGAUGAAUUAAUUUUUUAAAAUAAAAUUUUUUAAAAUUUUGCUUAUAUUUAAUUGUAUGCAGUACAAGCAUCCUGCCAUUUGUCGACGCCACUCUCUCCGAACCACCACCACAUUCUCCUCUUCUUCGAGCAAGCUUUGUUCUUCCCUUUCCUACAGGAAUUCCUUCGCGGUAAGCAUGCCUCGUCAUCUAUUAUGUCUCUUAGUUAGUAAUAGUCAAUCCACUUAGUUACCCAGUUCCAACUUCCAACUAAUAUAGGCCAUAAUCUUUUGCUACUUUACUAUCCCUUCUACACAGACUCUCCUACUUGGAGCUUACUGCCUAUCACAAAAUAUAUUUAACUAUCUCUCUAAAAUUACCCGCUUCACUUCGGCCUGAAGUGUGGGUAAAGCAUAGGCCCAAGCCCACCAGUGUAUUCUGAAAUUGUAAUUUAGUUAUGAGCUAUGAAGCACGGAUACGGACACGGACACCGGACACGACACGGACACUGACACAGCUGAUAAUUUGAAAAAAUCACAUAAUUCAGUAUAAUUACAAGUGUCGGUGUCGUGUCGGACACAACACGUGUCCGACACCGGGACACGCCUAAUCCAAGGAGUGUCCGUGCUUCAUAGGUUAUGAGUGAAUGGGAGUGGCAAGGAUUGAACACUCCUAACGACUUGGUCAUACAAGAGUGGGAAGGAUUGAACUCAUAACCACUUGGUCAUAGAAGCCUCUAGUCCAGUCCAAGGACCAAAUGUCCCAAAAGCCUAGGCUAAAGAGUGCAUCGCAUCUGUUAACAUUUGCUAAUGCAGAGUUACAUUCCUUUUUAUUUUUAAAAGAUUAUUGUAUAAAUUAUUUAAGAUACUGUUGAAAAUACAUCAUGCAAUUGAAGAUUAAGGUUCAAACCUUGAAGCAUUCUAUCUUGAUUAUCAAGGCAAUAAAUAUAAAUUAUAAUGGUAGAAACUCCUGUCUAAGAUUGCCACCCAUUUCCAUCCUCCAUGAUUGAUCAACUAGACUUGCAAACUCUCUGAAAUGCACAUACGAAGCUCCAUAAGGAAAAUUAGCGAUUCACAAAGUACUACAAUAUAUAAAAAGAGAAACCAAAAUUUCUUUUACAAUUAGAAGAGGAAUUGAGUAAUGGGAGAACAUGUUCUAGUUCAAAGUUAGAAUCAAUAUAUAAGGAUUAAUCUUACGAUCUCCUAGCUACAACACAUGUAAAAGCAUCUAUACUGCCACCAAAAACCCUUAGCUGUUUUGAGUUCAUAUCAAUUUAAUAGUUAUAGUUUUCUUACAUUCAAUGCCAAAUUGUUAAAUGAAUUGCUGAUUGGAAAGCAUAUUUGAUGUAGAACUAAUCAUUACAUCACAACAACAGCCAUGCCACUUUCCACUUGGUGGAGUCAGCUGCAUGGAUUAUAUGACGCCAUAAUGCUUCUAUCGUGUGAAUGAACAAACCCCAAGAUAUUGAAGACAACUCUAUCCCACCAAUUACUUCCCUCUACAUCACAACUCCUUUUCCUAUUUAUAGGCAAAAUGUCUGAUUCAUUUUUUAUAACCGACUCAACUUUCUGCCUGAUUAGCCUAAGUAAACCACUAACAAAGGGUUACUAUCAAACACCAUAUAAAUUCUAUAGUAACAGUUAUCCGUUAAUAUAUCAAAAUAAUUAUUUAAAUAAAAUUAAUUCAAUUUCUUUGUAACAUAAUUAUUUAAACGAAAUUACUUCAAUUUCUUUAUAAUAAUUGAAGUUAGAAGAAUUUCUAAUUGAAGUGAAUGGAUAAAAAAAUUAAAGCAAAAGAAACACUCAAACAAAUAUAAUACUCCCUUCGACGCCAUCUAUAAGAAAAGGUUUGAUGUUGUUUUUGUCCUAAUGAUAAGAAAAAAUCACAAAUUUUAAGGGUUAUAAAUUGCAAAAAUUACUUUAAUAUCGUUCCUAUAUUUACUAGAAAUUCAUAUGUUGCCUAUAUAAAUGGGCGUAAAAACAUUUAAUGCCACUAUGCCAGAAUUUUAUUUAGUCUUGAUUUUUUUCUUCCUAUAUAUGGGACUAAAGGAAGUAUAUAAUAAAAAUUGAACAAUAAUAUGAUUAAAAAGUAUAUGAUCUAAAAUUACUAGAGAAAAUUGAAACAACCUCAAGUCAUGGCUGACAACAAGCACAGUUAAUUCUUUUUUUAGAUGCUUUAAAAGCUUCACAACAUCCGCACGUGCUUUCCAAUCUGGCCAGAGGAAAGUGGUAUUAGAUACAGCUUUAAAAAAGAAUACACUGUACUUUAUUUAAAAAAAAAAAAAAAAGGUAUUUCCUAAAUGAUAUUAUAUUCACAUUCUUCAAAUUAAAAUAACUAUUAACAUUGUCAUUAGCCUUAGAUCAAGUGGCACCAAGUCCUUCUUAUAAAUACUUGAUGUUAUCAUAAAUUCCACUGUUUCCACUUUGACUCUACUCUAUUGUAGCCUUCCCUCACAUUAUGUCUCUUAGACCUCUUUUGUAAAAUAAUAAAGCCAAAGCAAAGGGAUAAACAAGGCAGAGUCCUCAAGGAAAUUUGUAGAAGAAUAGUAGUCAUCAAUCCCAAAAGGUAGAGUGAUUGAUGCCUAAACUAUUACACAGCUGAAUGACCAUCGUAUUGCAGAUUAUACCGAGGUGCUUUCUGGAGUUGUACAUCAUGUUUAUGUGGAAGAUGCCAUGAUUUCAUAGGAUACGAAAGGUGAACAUUGAGAAAUCUAAAGACUCAAUACAAACCACAAACUCACAGAAAAAAAUAAAUAAAUAAAUAAAAGAAAUAUACACAGAUAGGAGUGAACAGCAGAGUAAUCACUGAUUGCAAAGCAUAUUUAAACUUGUUCACAAGUGAGGCCUAAAACAUCAGGAAAUUUCAGCGAAAAUUAGCACAACUGAGGGCACAAUAAGUGAGGCAAAUAUGCUUUGAAUCAUGGUACCAAGAUAAAAAUGAUAUUGAUAACCUGAGCAGAAACAGUAAUUAUAUAACAAUCCAAAUGUGGGGAAGGAAUAUGUAAACGCAAUUGAACAUAAUAGUUAGAAUACAAAAUGAAAGAGAAUCAGGGUCUUUCAAAUGCUUGGAAAUUUUCUAAUGACAUACAGUUGAUGUUAUGGGUUUUAUAUAAAAAGCAGAGAUAAUUAAUAAAACCUUGAUUUUAGUUGGAACAAGUUGAAUACAUUUUAAAGGGAAGAAAUCCAGAGGUUAAUUUAGUUCAAUGACUCGUAGUAAUGCAGAAUUAAAUAAAAAGCACAGGUUGCAGUUUUAUACCAAGUCCGGCAAGAGGCUCAUCCAAUAUUAAUAAAUCGGGGAUUUGCACCUGAAAAUUUUGAAAAAAAAAUAAAAAAAUUAAUCCAAUUGUCGCUUGUUUGACUGACAACUAAAACAUCUAACAAAAGCAAAACCAAGUGGUUAAAAAUUAACUUACUAAUUGUAUUGCCAAGGCAAGGCGACGUUUGUAACCGCCACUGAGAGAGUGAGGAUUCUUAUCCAAUGAUAUCCCACUUAAUCCAACCUAUAGUUAUGAAAAAGAAAUGGUAUUGCAUAUGAAACAUAAGAACAUAUAUAUAUAUAUAUAUAUAUAUAUAUAAAAGAAUAGACUCUGUAAUAUCAAAAGGUAUAACUACCCAGUUAAUAGCCCUCUGAAGCCCUAGAGCAAGAUUCUCCCUUAAUUGAUCAUUACCCUUUUGUCUUGGCCACCCAAAAGUGACUUCAUCAAGUACAGUAUCAGCAACAAAAUACCUAGGUUGCAACACCAAUGAUUAGAAGUUUAGAGAUAAAAAUCCAAUAAAAAUGAAGCAAUUCAGAAAAUAAUUAUAAAAGGCUAAUGAAAACAGUUAGGAAAUUAAACAAUACACCACUCUGACAAAUGGAUCAAAAAAGAUUCAAUUUAGUAUUGCGAAACCUGUAAAAAGUGUUUAGGGUAAAUUUCCAAGAAUAUUUGAAUGCUAAGAUCAACAGAAUUAUCCUUCAGAUUCAAGUAAAACACUGAAACUAAUGAAUGACCGAUGAAAAACUUAUCUCUAAUCCUACAAAGGUAUUCUGUUGCAAGUGUCAGAAACAAAUAAUCUGUAUAACGCUCUUACUAAAAUUUCAUGUCAGAUAAUGAUGCAAUACAUUCUCAGCAUUAAAAGAACUAUUGAUUAUAGAAAGUUGUAAGCCUGAAAUGUUGGUCCCUUGUGACCUUUUCUAUGUCUAUUCUUCGUUGAGUAACGUUAAAUUUGUAGGGGUUCCAACAGCAAAAUUGAAACAACGUAGUGAUGCACAUAGCAUUAUAGCUCAAUAUUUGCAACAUAAGACUAAAACAAAAUGCAAGUUACAUUGUAAAAAAAUCUCUUACGAUAUAUGAUUAGUUUUAUAUUCAUACCUCUCUGGAAACUGGAAGACAAUACCGACCCUUUCCGGCACCAACGGUUCAGGAGAUUGACUUGGACUCCCAUCAUCCCCAUAUUUUUGGAUGUGAAUAGAUCCAGAUGUUGGUUUGUUUAUUCCUGCAAGAAGCUAUUUAAAACGAAAAGAAACCAUGGGUAGGAGUGACAAUAAUUAACCAAACAUGUAAACACAGGAAUGUUAAUUAAAGAAGAAUCACUAAAAAGUCAAAAAGAUGGAUGACCUGCAAGAGAGUUGUUUUCCCGCUUCCACUCUGUCCGAAAAUUAGACCCAAACUGUGAAUGUGUUAACCAGAUAUGAGCUACUACACAUAUACAAAAAUCCUUUUGUCUUUUACCGAAAAUGUAAAACAUCGAGUAUGUAUAUGUGUUAACCAGUUUCAAAAGGAUAGUAGUUAAAGUUAUUUUAGGAGAAACAAAAAGGAGAUACAACUGGAAGUAACAUACAUUAAGAUUCUCCCAACCCCCUUAACAGUAACUUCGACUACUCUGGAAAUAUUUAAAGAAAUGAGGAUAAAUUGGCAUACAAAAACUGGUAGGAAAAUUCAUACUGAGGAUCAGUUCUAAGAAAUAUUUUAAAAACCAAUUCGGCAAGAGUUGAGACCUCAGAGUCAUGAUUCAGCUAUUUUAAACCAGGACAAAACUGUGAUCAAACCGGUCAAAUAAUCAAAUUGUAAGUUUAUAAAACACAUCUAAAACAACAAAACCAAAACAUCCCAAAUUGAUUCAUAGUUCAAUUUGAUGAAAUUUGGACAAAAACAAGCUAAUAGAACUGGCACUUAAGAGUGAAGGCAUCUCAGUGUGUCAGGCAUCAUGUCUCGUAUCGUGCUGUUACCCGACUCCUACACUUGUGAUUUCAAUCAUUCCAUUUUCUUAAAUCAUUUCAAGUAUCUAAUUGAAUUAUGUCCAAACACACAACUGCGAUUUAUCCGCUCAAAUGAAUAAACUUCAUUGUUUAACCGUUCAGUUCAGUUUUUCAAACAAUAGUUAUUAGUUACAAGCUCUGAAGUACAGACACCGGACACGUUAACGCCGAUAAUAAUUUGAAAAAAUGACAUAGUUCAAUGGAAACACAUGUGAUGGUGUCGGUGUCAGACAGAAGUUAUAAGUAAUAAAUACCAAAAAAACCCUCAAACUGAUACAUAAUUGAAUUUGAUUAAAUCAAAACACGAAUAAAUAAUACCUUUUCUCUGGAAGUGAAAAAUUAACUGAAUUGAGAAGCUUAAACUCAGUCCCUGGUGGUUGAUAGCUAACAUCUCUAACCUAAAUAAAAAAACAUCACAAUUUCAUUACUACAUACACAUUCCUUAAAUUUCAACUCAAUAAUCCCUAAUUAUGCAAAUAUACUAAAUCAAAUUCAUACAUUCAAAUCAAAUUUCAACUCUAUAAUCCCUAAUUAUUCAAAUAUAAAUCAAAUUCAUACAUUCAACUCAAAUUUCUACUCUAUAACUAUAACCACAAUUUCACUACUACAUACAUUCAUUCCGCCAAUUUCUUCAAAAAUUGCAUUCCGUAGAAUCAAAAUCAAAUUCAACUUCCACGAAUUCUUGAAACCGACAAAGAAACUCAAAAUCGCUACUAAAUCCAUAAAAAUAUGAGUAAAAAUUGCAUUUCAGAAAUUCAACAAAUACUUGAAACGGUUACUCGACUAAGAAACUCAAAAUCACUAUUAAAGGCAUAAAAAAUGAGUAAAAAUUGCAUUUCAGAUAUCAAAAUCAACGAAAACUUGAAACGGUUAUUGGAGAAGAGAAAACAUACUUCGAGAGAAGAGUAACUGCAGCGAGUGGUUGAGGAAUUGAAGAAGCUACAAUGCGAUUGAGGAGAGCGAGAAAGUGAGGGAAAAGAAGAAAGUGGUGGUUUGAGGAAGUGAAAGGUGAUUGGUGAAUUAAUUGAGGUAGCCAUUGCCAUCGGCAUAGGCAUAGAUAGACGGUGGUGGUUCGGUUGGGAGAGAGGGAGGAGCCAAUUGUUGCGGAGAGUUUAGAAAUUUGACAGUUGGUUUGAAAAUAUUUGCAUCUUUAUUAUAAAAAUCAUCAAAUUUGAUCAAAAAGUGUUUAUACAAAAGUUUCAUGUUUUCCAUUGUUUUUAAAAUUAAAGUGUGUUUGGACGAAGUAAUUGAGAAAUUUUAAAAGAAUUUAAAAUUUUAGGCAAUUUAGAUGAUUCAAUUAAAUUACUUUUAUUUCUCAAUUCUUUUGUUUGGAUGAAGUAAUAAAAAAAUUCAUUGUCAUAAUUUUUGGGCAACUUUUAUAAAUUUUAAUUUUUUUGGGCCAAAUUUAAAAAUUGAAAUUAGGGGUCAAAAUGUAAAUUUAAAAAAAUUGAGGGGUCAAAUUAUAAUUUUUGAAAAAUUUGAGGGACCAAUUUGCAAUUUUUUGGAAAUUUAUUGGGGUCAAUUUGAAAUUUUUGGAAAAUUUGAGGACCAAAAUGCAAAAUAUAAAAAAUAACAACAAUGAAGAAAUUUGAAGGUGUCAUUUGAAAUUCUCUAAAUUUAACUUGAACAAAAUACUUCAUAAAUUUCCAUCAUUUUGAAAAUGCUUCAAAUUAUUAUCCAAACAAUGGAUUUCACCCCAAAGUAUUUGAAUUCCCUCAAAACAAUACAUUCCCUCAAAACAUUCCUCCAUCCAAACACACUCAAGUUCAUAUUUUUAUUAUUCAAUCUUGAUUUGAAACAAAAUUGAUUUUUUUUCAAGAAAAAAAAAAUUUGAUUGUUUGGUGGAUUUAUAAUACUAUUUAUGAAGAAAAAAAAAUCGUAAAAUUAGAAUUGAAUUCAAACACAAUAAGAAAAAAAAAAUGUGUGUUAAUAAUCAUGUAUAAUGUCAUAAAUACUUUUGAACCUAUAACAUCAAUGUUAAAUAGAAAACCUCUAUCUUCCUCUCUCUUCUCUCCUUCUCUCCUUCUCAAACCCUAGCCGUCACCUCUUUCUUCUGUUUCUUCUUUUCAAGGGGUGAUUUAGGGUCAAUUUUGACCCAAAAAUCACCCCUUCGAAUUGUUUUUCCUUCUAUCUUAAUUGAAUAAGUGAUUUCACAUAUUUUUUGUUUUCUUUUGUUUAUUUUUGUGAUUUCGUCGUCUCUGAACGACUCUAUUUGUUUUGAUUUCCCGUCUUUGUGCGGUGUGUUUUUGAUUUCUCAUCUUAGUGCGGUGUUUAUUUGAUUCAGGUUGAAAGAUUAGCUUUGAGCAAGUGCAGAUCCGAUCAAUGACAAUGACUUUGGAGUCGUCAACGUUGCAGAUCCGGAAACAUGAGUAUUCUAGAGACAUGAAUAUAGUCAUAUUAGUCAUAUUUGUAGGCAUAGAUACUUUGCCGUUUUAUGCUAUUAACAUG
rnacentral:lncRNA from 1 species